GGACUACACGGGUUUCUAAUCCCGUUCGCUCCCCAUGCUGUCGUGUCUGAGCGUCAGGGGGGUGCCAGGGCACCGCCUUCGCCUCUGGGGUUCCUCCGGAUCUCUACGCAUUUCACCACUACACCCGGAAUUCCAUGCCCCUCUCGCCCCCUCCAGUAAGUCAGUCUGGCAUAACCCCGCCCGGUUGAGCCGGACGAUUUCAUACACCACUUAACCCACCGCCUGCACACGCUUUACACCCAGUAAAUCCGGAUAACGCUCGCCACCUACGUUUUACCGCGGCUGCUGGCAC
rnacentral:rRNA from 1 species